UUUAUAUGAGAGUUUGAUCCUGGCUCAGGAUGAACGCUGGCGGCGUGCCUAAUACAUGCAAGUCGAACGAGUUCUGAUUAUUGAAAGGUGCUUGCAUCUUGAUUUAAUUUUGAACGAGUGGCGGACGGGUGAGUAACACGUGGGUAACCUGCCCUUAAGUGGGGGAUAACAUUUGGAAACAGAUGCUAAUACCGCAUAAAUCCAAGAACCGCAUGGUUCUUGGCUGAAAGAUGGCGUAAGCUAUCGCUUUUGGAUGGACCCGCGGCGUAUUAGCUAGUUGGUGAGGUAACGGCUCACCAAGGCAAUGAUACGUAGCCGAACUGAGAGGUUGAUCGGCCACAUUGGGACUGAGACACGGCCCAAACUCCUACGGGAGGCAGCAGUAGGGAAUCUUCCACAAUGGACGCAAGUCUGAUGGAGCAACGCCGCGUGAGUGAAGAAGGCUUUCGGGUCGUAAAACUCUGUUGUUGGAGAAGAAUGGUCGGCAGAGUAACUGUUGUCGGCGUGACGGUAUCCAACCAGAAAGCCACGGCUAACUACGUGCCAGCAGCCGCGGUAAUACGAAGGAGGCAAGCGUUUUCCGGCUUUCUGGGGCGUAAAGAGAGCGAAGGCGG
rnacentral:rRNA from 2 species